CCGACACCAACACGCUAAGGCUCGCCAGAGUCACCAUCACGGUGGAGAAUGAAUUCCAAAGCUGCGACAGGACAACGCGUACUAAGCUUAAAAUGGUGCUGCUGUUAUACUUCGCGAAAUAAUUCACGAUCUGGAAUCUAUCACUCUGGAAAGAUCUACAUAUUGUAAGAUGGAUUUUGGUUCAAUGUCGCAUUCUACUCUGCUAAAUAAAUAAUCCCCGGGUCCACGUCCUACAAGCCGGAUCUUAGGCGUCGGGGUGUUCGUACCAUGUUGUGACAACCCCUCGUCAAC